CGGGGGGAGCAAGCGUUGUUCGGAUUUACUGGGCGUAAAGGGCGCGUAGGCGGCCACCGCAAGUCGACUGUGAAAUCUCCGGGCUUAACCCGGAAAGGUCAGCCGAUACUGCGGGGCUAGAGUGCAGAAGGGGCAACUGGAAUUCUCGGUGUAGCGGUGAAAUGCGUAGAUAUCGAGAGGAACACCUGCGGCGAAGGCGGGUUGCUGGGCUGACACUGACGCUGAGGCGCGAAAGCUAGGGGAGCGAACGGGAUUAGAUACCCCGGUAGUCCUAGCCUUAAACGAAGAAUGCUUGGUGUCUGGGGUUUUAUAGUCCCCGGGUGCCGUCGCUAACGCUUUAAGCAUUCCGCCUGGGGAGUACGGUCGCAAGACUG
rnacentral:rRNA from 1 species